rnacentral:ncRNA from 1 species
ACAUUCUAAGGAGAUGGUAUUCCUCCGAUUACAAACCGCCUUUUUGGCUAAUGAUGCCUACGUUACU